rnacentral:rRNA from 1 species
CAUUCGAGUGGCGGACGGGUGAGUAACGCGUGGGUAACCUGCCUUACACAGGGGGAUAACACCUGGAAACAGGUGCUAAUACCGCAUAAGCGCACAGGGCCGCAUGGCCCGGUGUGAAAAACUCCGGUGGUGUAAGAUGGACCCGCGUCUGAUUAGCUUGUUGGCGGGGUAGGGGCCCACCAAGGCGACGAUCAGUAGCCGGCCUGAGAGGGUGGACGGCCGCAUUGGGACUGAGACACGGCCCAAACUCCUACGGAAGGCAGCAG